AACUAUGGCUGUACUAUCUUGAAGACACCUCAUCUCUUCUGAUCAGAGAGGGUGCAGGGUCAGGCAUUGUUAGUACUUUCAUGGGAAACUGCUUUGUAACAACAGGUGAUGUAGGUU
rnacentral:rRNA from 1 species